rnacentral:lncRNA from 1 species
AUUUCUUUCUUAUUUUCCCGGCGUCUUAAUUAUCACCAGCGGGAUGGACAGGAAGAAAAGUCUGGAAGACACAUUUAGGGAUCCUGCCGCGUGACGACGGCUCUCCUAGAUCCAUCCACGGUUCCUCUGAAAGUCACUAGGAACUUUGUCAUCGAUGCAGUUGUUUCCUGAUAACGGAUGGAGUGCCUGCUGUAUUGAGAUUAUGGGUGUGGGCCACAGUGCCCAGCCAGAUGUAUCUUCUAAUCCACCAAGGGAAUCUGAACUGUUAAUUAAUUGUUAAUUGUUAAAACAUUGCUGGGGAAAAUAGCCCCGACAUGCCGCUUGAAGCACCUGGGCAGCUCAGACAUGAACUUCCUAAACCAUGAAAAACAAGACAACAAAGAGGAUGGAAGACAGGGAGGAAAAAGUCAUCAAAGGAAAGCAGCGAGAAACCGAGAAACUGGUGUGUACUGGAUCAGAGGGCAGUGGUUUGCGCUGUGGCCUCAGAAUAACUUGCUGGACUUCUACUUUGGUGUGCGUUUUACUUUGUUGUUAGGAAGAAUCACAACCUCUCAAUUCUUUGCACGCAAGACCAGAAAUCAGAACUCUUCACAAUUUAGUCACAGAUAUACAGGGAAGCAUUGAAGCAAUUGUCAUGUAGCCAUUUAAUCUUCAUAACUGCUUCUUUGGGAGACUUUACAGCAACAGUGUAAGAGUGUGAUAUGAUCUUACAUUAGCCUGGAACGCAACAAAACAAGAGGGAAUAAGCAGAUGUGGUUGGAAGCAUACUAUUGAUGAAAAUCACCUCAGCUAAUAGACGUAGCUCAACCAAAACAUUGGCUUACACAAUUUGCUGGAAUUCUCUGGCUUCCACUAGCGGGCUUCAGCAGAAGAUCUGAACUCUCAGCUCCUCCUGCACCAUGCCUGUCUGGAUGCUGCCAUGCUGCCACCUUGAUGAUAAUGGACUCCUGCACCAUGCCUGCCUGGAUGCUGCCAUGCUGCCACCUUGAUGAUAAUGGACUCCUGCACCAUGCCUGCCUGGAUGCUGCCAUGCUGCCACCUUGAUGAUAAUGGACUCCUGCGCCAUGCCUGUCUGGAUGCUGCCAUGCUGCCACCUUGAUGAUAAUGGACUCCUGCACCAUGCCUGCCUGGAUGCUGCCAUGCUGCCACCUUGAUGAUAAUGGACUCCUGCACCAUGCCUGCCUGGAUGCUGCCAUGCUGCCACCUUGAUGAUAAUGGACUCCUGCACCAUGCCUGUCUGGAUGCUGCCAUGCUGUCACCUUGAUGAUAAUGGACUCCUGCACCAUGCCUGCCUGGAUGCUGCCAUGCUGCCACCUUGAUGAUAAUGGACUCCUGCACCAUGCCUGUCUGGAUGCUGCCAUGCUGUCACCUUGAUGAUAAUGGACUCCUGCACCAUGCCUGCCUGGAUGCUGCCAUGCUGCCACCUUGAUGAUAAUGGACUCCUGCACCAUGCCUGUCUGGAUGCUGCCAUGCUGUCACCUUGAUGAUAAUGGACUCCUGCACCAUGCCUGCCUGGAUGCUGCCAUGCUGUCACCUUGAUGAUAAUGGACUGAACCUCUGAACCUGUAAGCCAGCCCCAAUUACAUGUUGUCCUUAUAAGAGUUGCCUUGGUCAUGGUGUCUGUUCACAGCAGUGAAACCCUAGCUAAGAGAGUGAAUUCAGAUGUAGAAAUCUCCUUCAUCAGCAUCAUGUCUGCCUGCACGCUGCCGUGCUUUCCUCCGUGAUGACACGGAUUGAUCCUCUGAAACUGUAAACCAGCCCCAAUCAAACGCUUUUUAAUACAAGAGUUGCCAUGGUAAUGUGUUUCUUCAUAGCAAUAGGUCGCUAAGACCAGUGGUGUCUUGUUUUCCUGGUUAUUCAUGUUUCUUAGAGUCUUUUGUAGUUAUCUGUACAUUUGCACAAGAGAUUCUUUCCUCCAGGGUUUAUCAACUAUCUCUGACAUAGUGAUUAACUUUACCUCUGAGCUGGGGUGCAUUAAAGCAUACUUUGACUCUAAACCUAGUGAGCCAGGGCACGUGUGGAGGCUUUCAGUUCAGAGGGUAAUGAAUGUGUCUAUCAGCUCACACAGCUGGUAUCCAAAGUGUUGACAACUUGGCAGUCCUAUGCUGCGAGGACUGUUAGGGAUCCAGUGGCAAGGGCAGCAAUGGAGACAUGGGACACUCAGAUGCGUACACUUGGCCUCAAAGGCCAGCUGCAGGUAUCUGCUGGGUGACAAGUUUGGUGGCAGGCAAGUGCACAGCGGGAAAGUUUAGAGCACGAGAGGCUCAGAAGCCAUAGCUUGUAAAGGCAAAUAAAGACUCUUGGCUACAGAUUAAUGGAGUCCUCUUUGGAGCAAUGUUUUAAUUCUGUCACAUUAAAUAUUGUGAGUCCUCAGUGGUGAAAGUGUGAGGAGUUUGCAGCAGCUCCUGGGUCUGUUAAGUUUCCAGCAAAGAUGGCUCCAGAGUCCUCUUCUGAGGAGACUCUAAGGACAGCCAAGUCACAUACUCUAUUGCUGUCUCUUUUGCUCCGAGCUAUUUCCAGAUGCAUACUAUGCCAUUCUUCCUUAGUGAUCUGGGGAGAUCACCAGGCGAGUCUUUGAAAAGGUGUUCUGAAAGUUUGUGGGAUAUGGCUGUUCACCCAGCCUUUCUUUUUCUUAAGAGGGCAGUUCAUGGGCUGGUUAGUUUCUUCUCAGCCAGGGUAGUGAUGGGUUGGGGAGAGGUGUGUGAGUCAGGCAAAAUGAACCAUUUGCCCAUUGUUUUGAGGCAUUUUACUUGGGCGUUCUUCCUCCACCGUAUGCCUAUAUCUUUUACAAUGAUCACCCCCCAGUACUUCCAGAGAUAUUUACCUUCCUCGAUAGUUCAUUUGGUGGGGAGGGAGGAUGUUGUAAAAUCUGAUAUCUUACUCCAAUGUAUUGCUGUCAUCGAUUGCUACUGCCUGAUUGGAAAGCGUGACUCUAAAUCCCAGCCCUGCCUAUAACUCCAGUUUCAGUGAGUUUGGCACCCUCUCUUGGUCUUUAAAGCUCUUGCACAUACUCUCUUGUACACGUGCUCAUAAACUCAUGCAGGCUCGAACAGGUUCACAUAACUGA